GAUGAACGCUGGCGGCGUGCCUAAUACAUGCAAGUCGAGCGGAAAGACGAGGAGCUUGCUCCUCUGACGUUAGCGGCGGACGGGUGAGAAACACGUGGAUAACCUCCCUAUAAGACUGGGAUAAAUUCGGGAAACCGGAGCUAAUACCGGAUAAUAUAUUGAACCGCAUGGUUCAAUAGUGAACGACGGUUUUGCUGUCACUUAUAGAUGGAUCCGCGCCGGAUUAGCUAGUUGGUAAGGUAACGGCUUACCAAGGCAACGAUGCGUAGCCGACCUGAGAGGGUGAUCGGCCACACUGGAACUGAGACACGGUCCAGACUCCUACGGGAGGCAGCAGUAGGGAAUCUUCCGCAAUGGGCGCAAGCCUGACGCAGCAACGCCGCGUGAGUGAUGAAGGUCUUCGGAUCGUAAAACUCUGUUAUUAGGGACGAACAGAUUUGUAAGUAACUAUGCACGUCUUGACGGUACCGAAUCAGAAAGCCACGGCUAACUACGUG
rnacentral:rRNA from 1 species